rnacentral:rRNA from 1 species
GCAAGUCGAACGGCAGCACGGGUGCUUGCACCUGGUGGCGAGUGGCGAACGGGUGAGUAAUACAUCGGAACAUGUCCUGUAGUGGGGGAUAGCCCGGCGAAAGCCGGAUUAAUACCGCAUACGAUCUACGGAUGAAAGCGGGGGACCUUCGGGCCUCGCGCUAUAGGGUUGGCCGAUGGCUGAUUAGCUAGUUGGUGAGGUAAUGGCUCACCAAGGCGACGAUCCCUAGCUGGUCUGAGAGGAUGAUC